rnacentral:tRNA from 2 species
GGGCCCGUAGCUCAGUUGGUUAGAGCACUGGAUUUUUAAUCCAGGGGUCCCGGGUUCGAAUCCCGGCGGGCCCA